CCUACGGGGGGCAGCAGUCGAGAAUCUUCGGCAAUGGGCGCAAGCCUGACCGAGCGACGCCGCGUGCGGGAUGAAGGCCCUCGGGUUGUAAACCGCUGUCGGAGGGGAUGAAAUGCGUGGGGGUACUCCCCCAUGUUUGACAUAUCCUCGGAGGAAGUACGGGCUAAGUUCGUGCCAGCAGCCGCGGUAAGACGAACCGUACAAACAUUAUUCGGAAUCACUGGGCUUAAAGGGUGCGUAGGCGGCGCGGAAAGUUGGGUGUGAAAUCCCUCGGCUCAACCGAGGAACUGCGCUCAAAACUGCCGUGCUUGAGGGAGACAGAGGUGAGCGGAACUUAGGGUGGAGCGGUGAAAUGCGUUGAUAUCCUAAGGAACACCGGUGGCGAAAGCGGCUCACUGGGUCUCUUCUGACGCUGAGGCACGAAAGCUAGGGGAGCGAACGGGAUUAGAUACCCCUGUAGUCCC
rnacentral:rRNA from 1 species